AUGCAGCCUGUGAAGCUGUGCCGGGAGAACUCUCUCUCCACGCUAACAUCUGGGAAUGAUGUGCCUGUACCGAUGACUAUGGGAGGAGACCCAGAUACUCAGGAUCCUUUCUGGUCUCAAUACCAAGACCACCACCAGGACCACCAAGAACAGACUGAUACGGGAAUGCUACAGUUGGAAGACUAUUCUCAGCCUCAACCUGAGCACACACACAAAAAACAACCGCCACAGGAUCUGGGCCAGGUGGACAUAUCUUUCGUUCUGCAGUGGUGGGAUGAGUGCUGCCAGGCUGACUGUAGAGUGGAAUCCUCAAAAGGCAACCAUCGAAACAGGCUGAUGGCCACAGCACACGUGAGCUCGAGAAUCAUCUCAUAUCCUCACCCAGUCUCACCAGCAAUAUACAGAAACCUCAAGAAGACUUAGGUCAACUCCUGCCAUCCACAGAUUGUCAGCAAAAGGUACAAAUUUUUUGAAUCCUCAUUCACAGGAAGAGGACCCUCCAAGGACUCCAGCUGUGCCUCAGGGAGUAAGAUUUUCAGGCUCUUCUGAACACACCUCAGAGUUCACCAGGGCCUGAGCUUCUGGAGGAAGAUGGCAUUCUGAGCCUGAUCCAGGCCUCCUUUCUUUUGAUGCAGAUGAGAAUUUAAAGAACAAUGAUCGUGGAAGCCAUCCUGCCAGGGGCAAGAUUAAAGUGAGGAAAGGAAAAACCAAGUGGAAACCCAAAUGGAGGUUAUCUUGUGGGCAGUGGUUAUCUUCUGUACUCCGCUAAGGAUUCUUUCCAAGCUCCACUCUGCUGCUGGAAGCACCAUAGGACACAUCUGCUGAAUUCUUGUGGAAAAAAAAGCAUUUUACUGACAAGUAUGACCUCUGUGAUGACCGCGUCCUCCACCACCUGGAAAAUCCAAAGGGUAGCCUAACUCAGGCGAGGACAGGUCUCUGAGGGACAUCAGAACUUCUCUCCUUCCUGGCAACAUGGGAAGGCAAACUUGAAAUCUGUUANNNNNNNNNNNNNNNNNNNNNNNNNNNNNNNNNNNNNNNNNNNNNNNNNNNNNNNNNNNNNNNNNNNNNNNNNNNNNNNNNNNNNNNNNNNNNNNNNNNAUGGGAAGGCAAACUUGAAAUCUGUUAUGUAAAAAAUGAAGGGAUGCUGUACUUCCUGAUGGAGUUCAUAAAACUGAACUUUUCCCCAAAGCUCCAAGGGUUUAAAUUAGGAACCAGACACUACUUCAGUAUCCGUCAUUAAGGGAACGACUAAAUGGAUUAGGACAAAUCCUUCAAUACUGAGUAGUCUUCACUUAGAAGUGUAUUUUUAUUUAAAACAUACAAAAAAUUGUAAGAAAUUGUAACAGCAACACCAUAUCAUCACCAAACAUAGUCUAAUGAUGUUAAUACUUCCACUUCUUAGGGUUUUUAAUACAUUUGCAUAUAUGAUUAUAUAUGUCCAUAAAAUUUUUCCUCAGAUAAACUUUGUAUGUUUAUCAAAACUUGGUAAACCAUUCUCACUGUCCAUCUUCUCCCUUCUUUUGAAAAGGUAACUUCUAAAAAUAGAUUUUGGUAUAUGUGGGUCUACCUUGGUAAUAAAAAUGUCUUUAAAAAGUACUACUUCAAAAAAAUUACUUCUUCAUUUCAUCAAUCUGUUUUCUGUUUUGUCAUAUCUGCUUUACUUUCCAUAUGAAGGUAUUGAAAGAUCAAUACAUAUACAUCUAGUUUUACAGAUACCAGUUUUGCACAAGUAAUAGUUGUGAGGUGGACAUCCUUCUGGUGUCUGGGUGUGCCACAUGCAAGAGUUCUCUAGGUGUUCAUACUGAAGCACAAGUGCCAGAAUAUUCCAGCACCAAGAUUUAUGGCCAAAUUACACGCAGCACAAGUACUUUUUCCUAAUAUAAGCUGUAUCUUCAUUAACCACUUACGGAAUUAAAACUCACAGGCAUAUGUUCAGGUAUUUGUGCCACAAAUCUACCCAAAAAAUCUGAUAUAAUUAUUUGACAGUGUUGACACCAUGCCCAGUUUGAUUUUUAGAUUGUUCCACCAGAUGAUUCUCAUGCAGCCAAACCUGAGAGCUCCCAGUAUCUUUCCUGUACUUCAAACAUAUGUAGACAGUUCUUCAACUUAUGAAAACAAGUCUGAUGACUUGAGAAGGGAAAACUAUACAUUUGUAUCUGUAAUCCUCUUCACUUACAUGAACAUCUGUAUCUGCACGUUUAUAGGUAUUGCUCUUCAGUUCAGUUCAGUCACUCAGUCGUGUCCGACUCUUUGCGACC
ensembl:lncRNA